UCCAUAAAUAUUAUGAAAUAAUUAAAAAAAAAAAAAAAAAGAUAAAAAUAACACCUAAUACUGACUAUUAAUAUUAACCUGGAAAUUCCACCUUAACUAUUUUUUGUGUCCUCAACGUCAUACAUCGCGCUCAAAUCUAAGACACGCCUGCUCACCUCCUGGGGCUGUACAUGAAAAGACAGUGAAACAGUCUGUGCAGUUUCAUUUUCACAAUCACUCUACACAAGCACUGCAAGAUACAGGUAAGAUAGAUAGUAGGAAUAUUUUACAUAAUAUCUCUACAGUUUGGACACACUAACCUUGCAUAUGUGUCAUUUUUACAUUGUCACGGUGGCCUUGCUAUAUUAGAGCUGGCAGUUUGCAAAACUAGUUGAUGUCUGUACUGCCUCUUACAGUUUUGGGAUACACCAGUUGAAUAAAAAAUCUAAGCAUUAACUGGGAACAAAGUAGCCUGAAAUACUAUUUACUAAAGUGCAGUGUGAAAACCAAUGUCGACUAUCAAAACCAACAACCACUUAAAAAAUAUCGCCUUAAAACAAUGUGUGUCCAUGUGGCGUGCAAAUGGAAUGCUUGGCACACCUUCAUAGUCUACAUGAAAAGUAAACUGCAGAAUUAAAUACAAUCAAACUUAUCUCAGAUGACUAAAAACUACCUUGUUACUUGUCUGUUACAAAUUGUGAUCUUUAAACCUAGUAAUAUUUUUUUUUAGUUUUUGUUUCAUUUCCUGUUAUCUAUACAGUCUCCACGAGCACUCCAAGAUUCAAAUAAUGAAAAUGACUGAAAACAGUGCUGAAGAGCUGGAUCGAAAUUUCUUGCAAAGUGCCAACACAGUAUUCAUUGCUAUUGUCAAUCAAGUUGCUCUCUCACAAAUGUUGGAUUCCCUUUAUAGUGAUAUAAUGAUAGACCAGGAGGAAAUGAGUACUAUUAACAGUGAGAAGUUUUUGCACAACAAAAACAGAUAAUUACUUUUGUUCAUGACACACAAGACUCCAAAGCACCGCAGAUAUCUUAUAGAUUUGCUGAAGAAGGAACACACUUAUGUGUAUGAAGAAAUGCAGAAAGCAGUUUCAGCAAAACUGAACAAAAAUGGACCACAGCAGUAUCGUCUGGGUAAUGUAUUUCUGUGUGUGAAGCUUGUAUUCUGUAUUAUGGUAUGUGAAUCGUUAGUAUUUUUAUUGGAUGUAUUUUAUUAAUAAACGAGGCUUUUCUAGCUGAUGUAGAGUGCCGAAUGCUGAUACUGGCACAGAAUAACUGGGGAUCAAAAUGACAUCAUCAAAACAAUACUGCCCAUGAUUACAGAGCGAAACUUUGCUAAAAGAACACAGCAGUAAAGUUAGAUGAAACCUAAUCAGGAGAAAUAUUGGAGCAAAACCUCAAAAAAAAAAAGUUAAACUAUAUGUUUAUCAAAUAGUGUUUUGUUUGUCUUUUGUCAGUAUCUCUGUCAGAUUGGGAGGAAUAUGCUAGAGAACAUUCAGAAGACAUCAUUCAACAACUGACCCAAGAAAUAGGAGAUGAGGGGAUAAAAACAUUAGAAGAUGAACUGAAAAACAGACAGCUCAAAGAGGACUGGAACUGUAGCGAUAGUGAGGCAUAUAAAAUAUUUACCAACAAGGAGUUGGAGGACUACCUAAAUAAAGACCCCUCUGCACGUGGAAGUUGCACGUUUCCUACAAAAAAGGCUUAUGAGAUAUUAUUUAAGAUGAAAGUGGUGUCAAACAAGGGUGGCACUUUGAGUCAUAAAGGAUCAGAAAUGGGUUCUAGCAAAGGUGGUAGACUAGAUGGUGAUAUUUCUGAUGGUAGAGCAAGCCACAGGGAUUUGCCUGACAUGGGAAGUAGGAAUGAGGAUUCAAAAGUAUUCAAAAUGGAAGUACAUUUGAAGAUAAUCAGGUGCUUAGAACAUCAAGCCCUUCAGAAGCUGACCCCACUUGUGGAAAAGGGUCUGGCCAACAGGACAACACAAUUUCUGGUAUUUCACUUAAUCCUAUCCCGAUAGGGCAAACGGCUCGUCCAAAUAUUUCCCAAAAAAGGAAAUUAAACCAAGAAUCAAACAAAGAAAAUAAUAAAAAAAAAAAGAAAUUGAGGGAAUGCAGCUUGUACAGAUUUACAUAAAAAACAACAACAUUGAAAACUUACACAUGAUUAAUAACAAACAGCACAGCAUUUACAGGUACCUUACAGCUCAUAAGUGCUACGUGUUUUGUGAUACGAGCGAUGAGAAGAAUGUCAUUCUAACAACUGAGACGGCAUCAGUGUUGAAAAAAAAAAGGGGGGUUCACAAAGUCUUAUGCCUUCAAACUGCAGUACAACAUGGGAGUGCUCGGAAACAUUGCUAGAACUGAUGUGCUGGUUCAAGAUUCUAUGAUUAAGCACUCAUAUCGCAUGCCUUAUUUCAUGAUGUUUAUAAACUACUUUGAGGGGUUUGUUAAGGAUGUACUCAUCCCUGUUCUUGCAGUAUUUUUAGAAGUUCAGAAGAAAAGUUUGUUGAAAAUGGAAGCUGAGUAGGCUGUAGAAACAACAGGUCCACUGUCUCUACCAUGUUACCAUGGUUUUAAAGAGAACGUGCUGUUCAAUUCAGCAAAUUAGUUUACAUACUGUUAACAUCCUGACAACGUGGAAACAUGCAACCCAAUCAAUAACAACAGUGACUUGAAAUCAUUAUAAAUCACGUGUAAGAAAUUCAGUUACGGAUUUGUAAAAAUUCUGGUACAUUAUAUCCUGUGUACAGCUCAGGCAUAGAAGCAUUUCUGUUACUUAUAAGAUUAUAGAAAUCCAUGUAGUAGCUGAAAACAAUAAGUAA